rnacentral:rRNA from 1 species
ACGAACGUUGGCGGCGUGGAUUAGGCAUGCAAGUCGAACGAGAACUAGCUUUGUAGCAAUACCGAGCUGGGGAAAGUGGCGAAAGGGGCAGUAAGGCGUGGGUAACCAUCCCCGGGGACCGGGAUAGCCAUCCUAACGAGUGGGUAAUACCGGGCGAUGUGGCCGGGACGCAUGUCCUGGACAUGAGAUGAAUUUCGCCUCGGGACGGGCUCACGUGGUAUUAGCUUGUUGGCGGGGUAACGGCCCACCAAGGCAAAGAUGCCUAGCUGGUGUGAGAGCACGACCAGCGCCACUGGCACUGAGACACUGGCCAGACACCUACGGGUGGCUGCAGUCGAGGAUCUUCGGCAAUGGGCGCAAGCCUGACCGAGCGACGCCGCGUGCGCGACGAAGGCCUUCGGGUUGUAAAGCGCUGUCGGGGGGGGAGAAAGCCGCAAGGUUGAUCUAUCCCCGGAGGAAGCACGGGCUAAGUUCGUGCCAGCAGCCGCGGUAAGACGAACCGUGCGAACGUUGUUCGGAAUCACUGGGCUUAAAGGGCGCGUAGGCGGUUCAUCAAGUCAGGGGUGAAAUCUUUCGGCUCAACCGGAAAAGUGCCCCUGAUACUGAUGAUCUCGAGGGAGGUAGGGGCCUGUGGAACUUCUGGUGGAGCGGUGAAAUGCGUUGAUAUCAGAAGGAACGCCGGUGGCGAAAGCGGCGGGCUGGACCUCUUCUGACGCUGAGGCGCGAAAGCCAGGGGAGCAAACGGGAUUAGAUACCCCGGUAGUCCUGGCCCUAAACGAUGGGUACUAGGUUGUGGACUUGACAUGGGUUCACAGCCGAAGCAAAAGUGUUAAGUACCCCCGCCUGGGGAGUAUGGUCGCAAGGCUGAAACUCAAAGAAAUUGACGGGGGCUCACACAAGCGGUUGGAGCAUGUGGCUCAAUUCGAGGCUACGCGAAGAACCUUAUCCUGGGCUUGACAUGGCAGAAGUAACCCCUGGGAAACCUCGGGCCGCCGGUAUCCAGUCCGGAGACUGUCACAGGUGCUGCAUGGCUGUCGUCAGCUCGUGUCGUGAGAUGUCGGGUUAAGUCCCAUAACGAGCGAAACCCUUGUUUCCAGUUGCCAGCGGGUCAUGCCGGGGACUCUGGAAAGACUGCUGGUGUUAGACCGGAGGAAGGUGGGGAUGACGUCAAGUCCUCAUGGCCUUUAUGCCCAGGGCUGCACACGUGCUACAAUGGCGCGAACAAAGGGAAGCAAACCUGCGAGGGGGGGAGCCAAUCCCAAAAAAACGCGCCCCAGUUCAGAUCGAAGGCUGCAACUCGCCUUCGUGAAGUUGGAAUCGCUAGUAAUCGCAGGUCAGCAACACUGCGGUGAGUGUGUUCCUGAGUCAUGUACACACCGCCCGUCAAGCCACGAAAGAUCGGGGCGUCCGAAGUCGCCGUGCCAACCGCAAGGAGGCAAGCGCCGAAGACGAAACGGUCGAUUGGGACU